CGUGCAGCCAGUGAGUUUGGGACAUUAGCAGAGCAGGGUGCUGGAAGCUGCCAAGACCGUCUCACCCAGGCGCCCACCCAGGUGGGGAGGAAUUGAUUUUAUAUGCAGAAAGCGUGAGAACCAGGUCGGUCUCCUGAGAAGAAGAAAAACAGUGAAAUGAUGGAGUGAUGAAUAAAUGAGGGCAGGAGCAAUGAGAAGAAAGAAGAAGAAAAAGAAAAUGCUGAUGCUGACAGUCCUCCUGGCUAUAUCGAUGCGUGCCCUUUAAAGUGGAGAGGAGAGAGGAAGACAGAGAGAAAGAAUGGGGGCUGCAGGCAAAGAUUCACCGAGCGCGACCCGUUUCAUCCCCCCCCC